rnacentral:lncRNA from 1 species
UUUCGGGAUUUUAAGUGUGUAUUGCAUCCCUAAAUGUCAAAAACCAAGACUUUCAAAAAUUUCCAAAUCUUGGUACCAAACAAUAACCUAGCCAAGUCUCAAAAUCAAACUAGGUUUGCUUAAAAAGAGACCAAAUUGAAAAUCUUCUUGCACCUAGAUUUUGACACCAGUAAUCAUUUAGGGAUUUAAAGAGUGCAUUGCAGUCCCUAUGUCUCAAAAACCAAGACUUUCAAAAAAUUUCAAAUCUUGGCACCAAGCACCAACUUAGCCAAGUCUCGUCACCAAACUUGACUUCCUUGAGAACCAACGAAAUUUAAAAAUUUCUUGCACCUAUAUUUGAAAACUAGUCGACACUUGGGGAUAAAAAGAGUGUAAAUCAGCACCGAAGUUAAAAAAACAAAGGAUUUGAAAAAAAUCUCAUAUCUUUGCACCAAGCACCAAUAAUGCCAAAUCUCACCACCAAACAUGGCAUUCUUCAAAAUAAACCAAAUUGAAAAAUUUCGUGCACCUAUUUUUUUUCUCUAGUCAUCUUUUCGGGAUUUAAAGUGUGCAUUACAUCCCUAAAUGUCAAUAACCAAGACUUUCAAAAAUUUCCAAAUCUUGGCACCAGACAAUAACCUAGGCAAGGCUCGAAAUCAAACUAGGUUUCCUUGAAAACCAACCAAAUUGAAAAUCUUCUUGCACCUAGAUUUUGACACCAGUAAGCAUUUGGGGAUUUAAAGAGUGCAUUGCAGUCCCUAAGUCUCAAAAACAAAGACUUUCAAAAAAUUUCAACUCUUGGCACCAAGUACCAACUUAGCCAAAUCUCAUCACGAAACUUGGCUUGCUUGAAAACCAACCAAAUUGAAAAUUUUCUGGCACCUAUUUUUUGUCACGAGUCGUCAUUUCGAGAUUAAAAGUGUGCAUUGCAUCCCUAAAUGUCAAAAACAAAGACUUUCAAAAAUUUCCAAAUCUUGGUACCAAAAUCUUCCCAAGUCUCAAAACCAAACUAGGUUUGCUUGAAAACAAACCAAAUUGAAAAUCUUCUUGCACCUAGAUUUUGACACUAGUAAACAUUUGGGGAUUUAAAAGUGCAUUGCAGUCCCUAUGUCUCAAAAACCAAGACUUUCAAAAAUUUUCAAAUCUUGGCACCAAAAACCAACUUAGCCAACUCUCAUCACCAAAGUUGGCUUGCUUCAAAACCAACCAAAUGGAAAAUUUUCUUGCCCCUAUUUUUUGUCACCAGUCGUCAUUUUGGGAUUAAAAGUGUGCAUUGCAUCCCUAAAUGAUAAAAACCAAGACUUUUAAAAAUUUCCAAAUCUUGGCACCAAACAAAAACCUAGCCAAGUCUCAAAACCAAACUAGGUUUGCUUGAAAACCAACAAAAUUGAAAAUCUUCUUGCACCUAGAUUUUGACACCAGUAAUCAUUUAGGGAUUUAAAGAGUGCAUUGCAGUCCCUAAGUAUCAAAAACCAAAACUUUCAAAAAUUUUCAAAUCUUGACAUUUAGGGAUGCAAUACACACUUAAAAUCCCGAAAU